rnacentral:rRNA from 1 species
UGGGGAAUAUUGCACAAUGGAGGGAACUCUGAUGCAGCGACGCCGCGUGAACGAAGAAGGCUUUCGAGUCGUAAAGUUCUUUUAUAUGGGAAGAUAAUGACGGUACCACAAGAAAAAGCCCCGGCUAACUACGUGCCAGCAGCCGCGGUAAUACGUAGGGGGCUAGCGUUGUCCGGAAUCACUGGGCGUAAAGGGUUCGCAGGCGGAAAUGCAAGUCAGGUGUAAAAGGCAGUAGCUUAACUACUGUAAGCAUUUGAAACUGCAUAUCUUGAGAAGAGGAGAGGUAGGUGGAAUUUUUAGUGUAGCGAUGAAAUGCGUAGAUAUUAAAGAGAAUACCGGUGGCGAAGGCGACUUACUGGGCUCAUUCUGACGCUGAGGAACGAAAGCGUGGGUAGCAAACAGG